CCUACUAUAUGUCAGGCACCGGGCCAGGUGCUCCAAGUCUCUGUAAGACCAACUCCACGAGCAGAACUGCAUGAAGGACGCGUAUAUUUGAAAUUGUCAGAGAUCCAGCCAAACCCACCUUCCAGAAGCUGCCGACCUCGUGCCCCUCCAACAGCGAGUGAGGCCGUCCACUUGCCACCACCCCCACCCCACCCCCACCGCUGACCCCAACACGGGGCAUUAGGGAUCAGUUUCGUUUCUACCUGGAUCUGAUCAGCAAACAACCAAGGAUCUCCGGAUUUAAUUUGUUAUUUCCCCGAUCACUGUGGCGGCUGGGUCCCCCCGUGCACGUCUCCGGGGGCAGCCUUCUUUUGUUUUCGGGACUCGGAAGGGGAGGGUUGGAGCCGUCGCUUGGCUAGGGCCGGUCCACGGGGAGCUCUCUUUGGGCCAGGCAGCCCCCCCCCGCCGCCACCGCCACUUCCUCCCACCCCAAAGCCUGGAAACAAGGACUUCCCUCUCCCACCCGAGCCGCCCUCGCCUCCGCCAGGGCCCGGCAGAUGGGGGAGGCCACCUUCCGGUCCCAGAGAGGAAGCUUCGUCCUCGAUUGUUCUGUGCGGGGCCCGCGGCUGCAGGAAGAGGCCACGUGGUCCCCCACUGGAGCAGAGCAAGCCCCCUUGUGUCAAAGGCGGUUUCCUCAUCCUAAAACGAGGACCCCAAGAGGUCCUGGGGAGAAAAGAGAGGAAGGGGAGCCGGGGCGGGUGUGCACAUGGCCCAGCUCCAGCGUCCCCCCUCCGCCUGAAGCCUCAGUCCCCAGCCCCGCCACCCCUGCCCGGCCCCUUCCCACCAGCCUCCCGCAGCCCUGACGGCAGGUGCCAUCGCAUGCUCUGGCUGGAAAGACCCCCCAACCCCCCGCCAGCAGGUCUCCUCACUCGAGGCUCCCACGCUGUAAGCGGGUCCGCGAAACCCAGCCCAGAAGAGAGCACAGCUCUACGAGAGCCAUCUUUCUGCGGACGCGGCCAGGGACCGCAGGAUCACCAGUGAACUCGUAGCAGCUCCGCCACGGACAGGGCCACCGAUCAGAGCGCCCGGGUCGAAUACAGAGCUCUGCCCACGGAUCAGAGGAGCCCCGCGCUCGGUCAUUCCACUUUUUAAUACGAUUCGGCCGUCAGGGAGUGGGCGCUGUGUAAAAGACGGAGACCUGGGCUCAGGAGAAACUUCGGGACCGCGGGAAGUCUG